UACAGAGGUCCCAAGCGUUUGUUCGGAUUCAUUGGGCGUAAAGGGUGCGUAGGCGGCGCGGUAAGUCGGGGUGUGAAAUCUCGGAGCUUAACUCCGAAACUGCAUUCGAUACUGCCGUGCUUGAGGACUGGAGAGGAGACUGGAAUUUACGGUGUAGCGGUGAAAUGCGUAGAUAUCGUAAGGAAGACCAGUGGCGAAGGCGGGUCUCUGGACAGUUCCUGACGCUGAGGCACGAAGGCCAGGGGAGCAAACGGG
rnacentral:rRNA from 1 species